rnacentral:rRNA from 1 species
UGGGGAAUUUUGGACAAUGGGCGAAAGCCUGAUCCAGCAAUGCCGCGUGUGUGAAGAAGGCCUUCGGGUUGUAAAGCACUUUUGUCCGGAAAGAAAUCCUUGGCUCUAAUACAGUCGGGGGAUGACGGUACCGGAAGAAUAAGCACCGGCUAACUACGUGCCAGCAGCCGCGGUAAUACGUAGGGUGCAAGCGUUAAUCGGAAUUACUGGGCGUAAAGCGUGCGCAGGCGGUUUGCUAAGACCGAUGUGAAAUCCCCGGGCUCAACCUGGGAACUGCAUUGGUGACUGGCAGGCUAGAGUAUGGCAGAGGGGGGUAGAAUUCCACGUGUAGCAGUGAAAUGCGUAGAGAUGUGGAGGAAUACCGAUGGCGAAGGCAGCCCCCUGGGCCAAUACUGACGCUCAUGCACGAAAGCGUGGGGAGCAAAACAGGAUUAGAUACCCUGGUAGUCCACGCCCUAAACGAUGUCAACUAGUUGUUGGGGAUUCAUUUCCUUAGUAACGUAGCUAACGCGUGAAGUUGACCGCCUGGGGAGUACGGUCGCAAGAUUAAAACU